UGAGGAAUAUUGGUCAAUGGACGAGAGUCUGAACCAGCCAAGUAGCGUGAAGGAUGACUGCCCUAUGGGUUGUAAACUUCUUUUAUAUGGGAAUAAAGUGCAGUAUGUAUACUGUUUUGUAUGUACCAUACGAAUAAGGAUCGGCUAACUCCGUGCCAGCAGCCGCGGUAAUACGGAGGAUCCAAGCGUUAUCCGGAUUUAUUGGGUUUAAAGGGAGCGUAGGCGGAUUAUUAAGUCAGUUGUGAAAGUUUGCGGCUCAACCGUAAAAUUGCAGUUGAUACUGGUAGUCUUGAGUGCAGCAGAGGUAGGCGGAAUUCGUGGUGUAGCGGUGAAAUGCUUAGAUAUCACGAAGAACUCCGAUUGCGAAGGCAGCUUACUGGACUGUAACUGACGCUGAUGCUCGAAAGUGUGGGUAUCAAACAGGAUUAGAUACCCUGGUAGUCCACACAAUAAACGAUGAAUACUCGCUGUUUGCGAUAUACAGCAAGCGGCCAAGCGAAAGCAUUAAGUAUUCCACCUGGGGAGUACGCCGGCAACGGUGAAACUCAAAGGAAUUGACGGGGGCCCGCACAAGCGGAGGAACAUGUGGUUUAAUUCGAUGAUACGCGAGGAACCUUACCCGGGCUUAAAUUGCAACUGACGGAUUUGGAAACAGAUCUUCCUUCGGGCAGUUGUGAAGGUGCUGCAUGGUUGUCGUCAGCUCGUGCCGUGAGGUGUCGGCUUAAGUGCCAUAACGAGCGCAACCCUUAUCUUUAGUUACUAACAGGUCAUGCUGAGGACUCUAGAGAGACUGCCGUCGUAAGAUGUGAGGAAGGUGGGGAUGACGUCAAAUCAGCACGGCCCUUACGUCCGGGGCUACACACGUGUUACAAUGGGGGGUACAGAAGGCAGCUACACAGCGAUGUGAUGCUAAUCCCAAAAGCCUCUCUCAGUUCGGAUUGGAGUCUGCAACCCGACUCCAUGAAGCUGGAUUCGCUAGUAAUCGCGCAUCAGCCACGGCGCGGUGAAUACGUUCCC
rnacentral:rRNA from 1 species